UACGGAGGGAGCUAGCGUUGUUCGGAAUUACUGGGCGUAAAGCGCACGUAGGCGGCUUUUUAAGUCAGGGGUGAAAUCCCGGGGCUCAACCCCGGAACUGCCUUUGAAACUGGAAAGCUAGAAUCUUGGAGAGGCGAGUGGAAUUCCGAGUGUAGAGGUGAAAUUCGUAGAUAUUCGGAAGAACACCAGUGGCGAAGGCGACUCGCUGGACAAGUAUUGACGCUGAGGUGCGAAAGCGUGGGGAGCAAACAGG
rnacentral:rRNA from 1 species